rnacentral:siRNA from 1 species
AUCAUAGGGUGUCAAAAUGGGU